AACCCAUGGUGAGGGCAUCAUCUCAAGAGAUCCUUGUAUCUCUCUCAUGCAUCGCAAAGUGUCUUUAAAUCCAUCUGCACAAAAGAAGAGAUAUCAUUACGUAAUUU
rnacentral:snoRNA from 1 species